rnacentral:lncRNA from 1 species
UGCCCCCGACACCGCUGACAUCUACGUACGGGCCAAGAACAACCUGCGGCACGUGGACAGCCAGGCGCUGCGCAGAGAGGUACGGCCCCGUGCUCCUGGCCUGGCAGCUCAGGGGGGACGUGCCACCGAUGGGCCGUGAGAACCACUAACUACUGGUGGCACUGCGGGAGUGGCACUCUGCAUGCCUGUCCCUGCAGGGGGGUAUGGCAAGCUGGGGCCAGCAGUGCCUCGACAUCGCCGUGGCAGCGGGUGGCUCUGAUGCCCUGGCUGUGCCAGCUCGGCGUGCCGCACCGUGUGGGUGGCAUGUGCCAAGCCCACGUGGCGCCGGCGGUGCCACUGACGCAGCGUCCCCAGGCGAGCUGGGCGUGGGCGGCUGUGCGGAAGCGUGGGGUGCAGGCAGCAGCUGUAACCUGAGUGCCCAGCUCCGGUGUCACCCGCGCCACAGGUGUCGGGUGGCAUUGCUGGCGCUGCCAGGAGCUGAGAGGGCUCAGCGGGACGCACAGGGCUCUCCGCUGCCCGCAGACACCAUGCACAAUGGGGGCCCGGCAGAGAGCAAGCCCGGCACCGAGCUGCCGCCUCCACCGCCGCCCCCGCCGCUGCCCGAUG